ensembl:lncRNA
GGGGCAAGUCCCUUAACCUCUCUGGGCCUCAGUUUCCUCAUCUGUUAAAUGGGGACCACGUAGGGUUGUGUUUUUUUUAAGGAGUAAAUUGGUAGCAUGCAUAAAGGAGUUACAACCAGUGUUGGUGGAGAGUGAAGAGGCAACGAGUGUUGUCUGGUGUCAUCACGCACAGUUACCGUUGAUUUUAUUACUUCUGCUGCCACUUCAUUUCAGAAGCACAGUGCUUAGCACCCAGGCUACCGGAAGUCAGUAUUUCUGUUAUUUCUUCUCCCUCCUUUCUCUGCUGCUGCUGCUGCUAAGUCGCUUCAGUCGUGUCCGAUUCUGUGCAACCCCAUAGACGGCAGCCCACCAGGCUUCCCCCUCCCUGGGAUUCUCCAGGCAAGAACACUGGAGUGGGUUGCCAUUUCCUUCUCCAAUGCAUGAAAGUGAAAAGUGAAAGUGAAGUCGCUCAGUCGUGUCUGACUCUAGCGACCCCAUGGACUGCAGCUUACCAGGCUCCUCCGUCCAUGGGAUUUUCUAGGCAAAAGUACUGGGGUGGGGUGCCAUUGCCUUCUCCUUUCUCUAAGUAACUCCAAAGAAGGCAGUUACCGAUUCAAAGGACGCAAGCACACAAGUGCACCCACGUGUUCCUAAUACACAGCACGCUGCCGCCGCCAUCUUCUUUCCAGCAGGCGGCCUCCAGCACUGACUUCCCUGGCUUCCACUCCACCCAACCCCUCCUGAGAAAGGCUCAGGGAAGUUCGCUUUUUCUCCAUCCCACCUGCUUAUCCAAGCACCAUCCUCUCGCGUCCGGAUGAGAGGGAUAAGACCACUUAACCAGUUAAGUGAUAGCCCCCAGCCUCUUAGCCACUGGGACGGCGGAGCCACUGAGAGCGAGCCCGGGAUCCCCAGCCCGGGGUUCAGGGUAAACAAGAUUACCUGGGGUGGCAGGAACUGGUGGAGACAGAAGGUGUUUCCAAACUUAAUCUGAAAUUAAUUAGAAAACGAAACAAGCCAAAGGACAAACAUCUGUGAGCAGAUGAUGUGCAGAGGCAAACAAAUUGGACACAUCACAUUCCGCUUGAGCUGGGAGUAGGAUCCUGCCAGGCUACAUAGGGAGUAGCCGGAGAGGCUUUCAGGGGGAGCAGUCUCAGUGUUUACUUCUCAGGAUCAAAUGACGGAGCAGCGCCAAGCUCCAAAGAUGCGGUCAGGGAGAGGGCUCUGCAGGGGAGCUGUGCGUCGGGGAGAUGAUCAUAAAAACUCAUCAGAACACACGCUGUUCAGGACCUGGGAGUGAGGAGCAGAGUGGUGCGUAUGAGAAGGGAGAAGCCUCCUGAAGCAGCCAGGACCGGGGGCUCGCCCGUACCCCACGACAACCUUCCAGGCGGGAUUGGUGGUGAUGGCUGUUUCAGGGCGCCUCCCUCACAACCCCCUUGCCAUUGCUGAGUCAAGGUCUCCCUACCUAAUGCAGGACAUGGCAGCUCCCCUGACCAUGGGAGCAGGCUUCCUCGUGCACCCGGCAGGCUGGAAGGGGUGCCGGCACUGAGGUCCCGGAAGCACCCCUCCACUCCGUGUGCCCCCAGGUGGACUGCUCAGACACGGCCCAUGGAGGAGCCCACGGUCCCGGCUGAGCGCGUGCACACGCGGGACCUGCCACUUUGGGCAUCCUCACUGGCCUCCUCACCACCCCCUCCCUUUCCCCUUCUCCACCUGCUUCCUGGGACCAGUCCCCAAACAAGCUGCUAGCACCCCAAAUCUGACCCGAGCUGGGGGCUGCUGCUAGGAAUGCAGACAGACAAGGAUGUUGGUGGCAAGCAGACGGGAUGGGGGUUGGUAACCUGGAUGAGUGAGAGACACUGUGCACAGACCUGUCCCAAAGCCGGAGAGAUCCCUACGGGGACUCUGGUGGUUCCGACUCCCGUUUGGAUCAACUGCCUGGUGACCUCAUCACCGCCGUUCCCCAGAUCCACGUCAGCCCUGAAGUCGGGGACCCCCGGCACACAGGAAGCCACACUCGGAGCAUUACCUUAGCUCUGACCCCAGCAGACACCAAGCAACCCUGCCCUCUUCUUUCUAAAGAGGGAGCAGACACCCAAGGAUUCUUACCCGAGUUAACAGCUCCCCUCGCCUUGUGCAUUGCGGUCACUUGUAUCUCAGCAAGAAUGAGCUGGAAGUCUGCCGAUGGAGGUGGGAGAGAAAAUGGGUCCUGGGUCCUUCUGGUCCUAGGGCAGGGGGGGCCCGGCUCCAAUGCCCUCCGGCCCAGCAUUUCAGGUGUCCGUGUCACCUGCCUGAGCCCCUGCUACUCCACUCGCCUGUUGGUGAGGGACAGAAAAGCUCCCUCACUAGGCUACUGUGAGGACUAUGGGAGAUGGUCAGCACCAACUUGUGGAAUUACAACCCAGAGACAGAGAUGACAGAGCACAUCAACUACACUGAGUAGAAGUUGCUCUCUCUUCCAUAAUGUUUCCUCCAUUGUUUUUUGCAUCAUAUCAAGCACAGGAAGAUACACCUGGAUCUAACACAUGUUGUAAAUCAACUAUACUCCCCUCCCCCCUAAAAAAAAAAAAAAAAAACCAUGAGGGUAGGAGGGGCUUUGUGGGAGCCCUCCUUUCCUCUCCUCCCACCCCUCCACCUCAUCACAGAUGCUAUUGGCGAGCAUCUGUUAUAAGCCACAUGCCCGCUCAGCGUUUUCUCACUAAAUGCUCCCCACACCACCCUCAAAAGACGAGAGCUGCCUCCCGUCCCUGCCCCGCCCCAAGAACGCUCGGCGAAGAUGGACAUGCGCCACACCUGAGCUGCCCAAGACAGCAACACCAGCGACCAGCUGCUCAGUGUUUGGCCUGUGCCUCGUGCAACCAACGGGCUUUUACUUAAUUUUAAUUCCUUAUGCACAACUAGCCACAGGUGAAACUGGUCACCAUGUUGGACAGCAGAGAUACACACGGGGGUGAGAAAGAAAAGCAAACUGAAGUCUAAAGGAGUUCGGCAACUGCCCAAGGCCACGGACCUGGAGGAAGGUGGAGGUCAGAGCUGCUCCCACUCUCCGCAGCUUCCCGUGUGCGUCUCCUAAAGCGAACGGCCAAGCUGGCCGUGGACUUACUCAGACACAGGAGACGAGAUCUGAAAGUCAAGACGGGCCGGGUGAAAAAGACACUCAGCAACCAGAGAACGGGCUCAGAGAGACAAGGAAAUGAAUAUUCAAAGAAGAUAAUGCACACGUCGUGAAGUUGCCAAUGAGUGAAGGAAUCUGUGCCUCUGGAGCUGCAUGCCAGCCCAAGGUGAACGGAGGAGCUGCACAGAGUAAUCGGAUGUCAGAGAAGAAGAUGGAUUCCUCGGAAAGCUCUUCUGAUCUUCUCUGACAGCAAAACUCUUAAAUUCAGCCUCCAGAACCCAGGGCAGACACCCCCAUCAGAGCCUGCCAGUUGCUUCAGCUUCUCCUGUUGCAUUUUUCUCUCCUGCUUGUGCCUGAGGGCAACACAGCAGAGUGGAUGCUUGGGCUCUGAUUGGGGUUGAAUCU